CUUCACCGAGCCGAGCCACAACGGCCGGUCGGCGGACCGGCCCUGCCCAUACGUCGCAAUCAGCGCCUGCGCCUC
rnacentral:antisense_RNA from 1 species